rnacentral:lncRNA from 1 species
AAUAGCAUCUGGUGACGAAGACAUUCGUAAGCUCUUGAGCUUCGACGUAUUGGGCAACAACUCUUUAUCUAAAAUACGAGUCAAGAUGUGCCAAUUAUGAUUUUUAUCCGCAUGAGUCAAAUCAGAAUAUGUCAUUUCAUAUCAUUAUCCCACUUGUGACCCAUGCGCUGGAUAAGCUCACAUCACCUGACCUCUCCUUAUCAACCAUAUGCCACACAGCUCC